rnacentral:rRNA from 1 species
GAAUUUUAUAUAAGUUAGGUAUUUUUGGAUAGUUGGAAUGGGUAUCAAAGUUAUAUUUAGUUGGGAGGAUAGUUAAAUUAAUGAAACUUUAAUUUAGUUUAAAAUAUAAAUUAAUAGAUUUAAGAAUGGUUAGUAAAUUAAGAAAGAAUUAAUUACCUUAGGGAUAACAGCGUAAUAUUUUUAGAGAGUUCAUAUUAAUAAAAAUGUUUGC